UGUAUCAUGGAGUAUCUAUCUUUUUUGCUUUCUACCUCAACCCUGCAACAUAUCACAAACAUAAAUUAAUAGUCUACUUCCAGCCACAUUUUCAUAUCACAAACAUAAAUUAAUAGCCCACUUUUCGCCUAUUUUUACAUCAUAGCUUUCUUUUUUGCCUUCUACCUCAACCCUAUAACAUCACAUGUAUCAAUUUUAGAAUUCAUCCUAAUCGAAAGAAACCACACAAUUCCCCCACCAAAAUCAAUCACAAACCAAAUUCCUCCAGCACUGCAAACAUUAUAUGUACUAGGCAACAAUUUUUAGUAAAAAAAAUUCAUUGAGGCAAUCCAUUCCUAACAAAACUUAUGAAACAUUAGGGAAUAAGGGCAUUAAUAACAUAAUGGAAAAGCACUUCUAAUUGCAGUUGCAAAAUUGAAUUUAGGGACUAAGGGUCAUCAAAUCACAAUGGAUAUCCAAGCAUGCAUUAUGAAUAAAAGUUCAUAUAUAUAUUUUUUGACAGAAAAGAGGACAUCGAUAGAGAUAAUUGUUUGAGUGGCAAUUUAGGCAACAACUAGCUUCCACAUUCAGUGACUAGGGUCAUUAAGUUCGUCGCAUCAAGACAUUUAAUCUCUUACAAAAAUUUAAAGUUCUUGAAUACACAAGAGUGAAAAAAUCGACAACCCAUCAUCGUUCCCAAUAGGUAUUGACUAAUAAGCAGAAGAUUGAAAGUUCUUGGGACAGAACACAUUUCCUCAAUUAAAUGCAUCAUCCAACAUUUUUGGCUACCAAGACAAUCCCGUACAAAAAUCAUGGAACAAAGUAUAUUUAUCAUUUUAUCCAUCUUAUUGUCGGGUUUCAAUUUAGUGAGCUCAUCAUCUAGACCAUACCAAUACUGAUAGUUGAAGAAAUAGGGUCAUAAAAAGACAAUCAACACAAUCCACAUUUUGAGCAAAAUUUCAUAUUAAAAUUGGUUUGCUUUGAAAGUCACCAUCCAACUUUUCCAUUAUGAAUACAGAAUUCAUAAUGCAUAUUCCUCAAGGGUCAUUAAGGCAUCCAUCCCUUACAAAAUUUAUGUAACAAUAGGGACAAGGGUCAUUAAGCUCAUAAUGUAAAACAUUUCUAAAGCCACCUUCCAACUUUUUCAUUAUAAAUAAAGAAUUCAUAAUGCAUUUUCCUCAAGGGUCAUUGAGGCAUCCAUCCCUUACAAAACUUAUGUAACAUUAGGGACAAGGGUCAUUAAGUUCAUAAUGCAAAAUAACUUCUAACUGCAGUUGCAAAAUUGAAUUUAAGGACUAAGGGUCAUCAAAACAGAAUAAAUAUCCAACAUGCAUUACUAUGAAUAAAUUUCAUAAUUUUUUUAAUAGAAAAGCGGACACCGAUAGGGACAAUUGCUUUUAAGAGCAAUUAAGGCAACAACAAGAUUUCACAUUGAGGGACUAGGGUCAUUCAGUAAUGUAUCCAACAUUUUUGGGGCAUCAAGACAUCCAAUCACUUGCAAAAUUUGAAAUUUCCAUUUUAUUAAAGCAGAAGAUUGAAGGUAUUUGAAUAAUAAAGAAUGAAAAAUCUAAAACCCGUCAUCGUUCCCAAUAGGUAUUUAUUAUAUACCAAUAAGCCGAAGAUUGAAAGUUUUUGGGAUAGAACACGUUUCCUAAAUUAAAGUUCAUAAUGUAAAACCACUUCUAAAGCCACCAUCCAACUUUUUCAUUAUGAAUAAGGAAUUCAUAAUGCAUUUUCCUUGAGGGUCAUUGAGGCAUCCAUCCCUUACAAACUCUAUGUGACAUUAGGGACAAGGGUCAUUAAGUUCAUAAUGCAAAAUCACUUCUAACUGCAGUUGCAAAAUUGAAUUUAGGGAUUAAGGGUCAUCAAAACAGAAUAUAUAUCCAUUCAUGCAUUACUAUGAAUAAAAAUUCAAAAAUUUUUUUAAUAGGAAAACGGACAACGAUAGGGACAAUUGCUUUGAGUAGCAAUUAAGGCAACAACGAGAUUUCACAUUCAGUGACUAGGGUCAUUAAGUAAUUUAUCCAGCAUUUUUUGUGCAUCAAGACAUCUAAUCCCUUACAAAAUUUGAAAUUUCACAUUUUAUUGAAGCAGAAGAUUGAAGGUAUUUGAAUAAUCAAUAAUGAAAAAACCGUAAACCCAUCAUUGUUCCCAAUAGGUAUUGAUUAUAAACAAAUUAAGCAGAAGAUUGAAAAUUUUUGGGACAGAACACGUUUCCUAAAUUAAAGUUCAUAAUGUAAAAUCACUUCUAAAGCCACCAUCCAACUUUUCCAUUAUGAAUAAAGAAUUCAUAAUGCAUUUUCCUCAAGGGUCAUUGAGGCAUCCAUCCCUUGCAAAACUUAUGUAACAUUAGGGACAAUGGUCAUUAAGUUCAUAAUACAAAAUCACUUCUAAUUGCAGUUGCAAAAUUUAAUUUAUGCACUAAGGGUCAUCAAAGCAGAAUAUAUAUCAAUUCAUGCAUUACUAACACAAUUCAUAAUUUAUUUUAAUAGAAAAGCCGACACCGAUAGGGACAAUUGCUUUGAGUAGCAAUUAAGGCAACAACAAGAUUUCAGGUAGUAAAUAGGCCAAAUUAUUCACUAAGUCAUUGUUAUGAGUAUAUAACAUAGUAACCACCAAUGAUCAAGAACAUGUUAUUUACAGAUGCUAAAGGAAAAUUUUUUCUCUGCAUAAGUAUAUACGAAGUUNNNNNNNNNNNNNNNNNNNNNNNNNNNNNNNNNNNNNNNNNNNNNUAUAUAUAUAUAUAUAUAUAUAUAUAUCAUUAACAAUUGAAAUUACCUUGCUUCAUAGCCAACUUUGAGACUUUUCCCAAGUAACAAUCUGAGAUAUGUGUAAGCUCCUACUGAUCCUCGAAAAAGAAGAACUGCAGGUCUAUGAUUAUUUCCAUACUGGAAAAAGAACCGACGAUCCUGCUAUUCAUACCACCAGAUUUGUUCAGCUUUAGCGAACACAAUUUCACUGUACCAUAUCCAGUUCAUAAUGUCAUAAAAAAUUAUAAACAAUUUUAACCAAUCAAAGACAGAGGGAUUAAACACCAAUGGUGCCACCACCCAUAAUGCAUGAACCAACUAGGAUUGGUCAGGGUUAUAUAAACAAAUGUGUCAGUUGCUACAGAACCGUGUCAAUAAGAAGCUUAUAUAAUGUUAUAAACAAAUCCAAUUCAUUAAGUCAUUAAAUCAUAAGAAAACACACAAUGUUGAUAAAUCUCACACUACAAAUUAGCCCUUUCUCACCUAUUAUUGCAUCAUGGGGUAUCUAUCUGUUUUGCUUUCUACCUCAUCCCUGCAACAUAUCAGAAACAUAAAUUAAUACUCCACUUCCAGCCACAUUUUCAUAUCACAAACAUAAAUUAAUAGUCCACUUUUCACCUACUUUUACAUCAUAGCUCCUUUUCCGACUUCUACCUCAGCCCUGUAACAUCACAUGUAUAUAUUUUAGAAUUCAGCCAAAUCGAAAGAAACCACACAAUGCCCCCACCAAAAUCACCACAAACUAAAUUCCUCCAGCACUGCAAACAUUACAUGUACUAGGCCACAAUUUUGAGUAACUAGGCUUAUGUUUACAACACGCUUUAAAGAUAAUGAAAAAAAAUUCAUCUCAGUGACUGUUUCACGAUUAGGGUUUUAAAAAGACAAUAAAUACCAUUGAUUAGGGUCAUAAUGCAUUUAACUCUGAGGUCAUUGUCUCAUUGUGGCAAUCCAUUCCUUACAAAACUGAUGAAACAUUAGGGAAUAGGGUCAUUAAGAACAUAAUGGAAAAUCACUUUUAAUUGCAAUUGCAAAAUUGAAAUUAGGGACUAAGGGUCAUCAAAUCAAAUUAGAUAUCUAUGCAUGCAUUAUGAAUAAAAGUUCAUAUAUAAGACAUCCAUAGAGACAAUUUCUUGAGUGGCAAUUAAGGCAACAACUAGCUUUCACAUUCAGUGACUAGGGUCAUUAAGUUCAUCGCAUCAAGACAUUUAAACUCUUACAAAAAUUGAAAGUUCUUGAAUACACAAGAAUGAAAAAAUCGACAACCCGUCAUUGUUCCCAAUAGGUAUUGAUUAUAAACCAAACAAGGCAAAUAUGUUGGAAUGAAAUUUCCAAUAAGCAGAAGAUUGAAAGUUCUUGGGACAGAAGAAGUUUCCUCAAUAAAAUGCAUCAUCCAACAUUUUCGGGCCGCCAAGACAAUCCCUUACAGAAAUCAUGGAACAAAGUAUAUUUAACAUUUUAUCCAUUUUAUUGUCGAAUUUCAAGUUAGUGAGCUCAUCAUGUAUAACAUACCAAUAUUGACAAUUGCACAAUUAGUGUCAUAAAAAGACAAUUGACACCUUCCACAUUUUAAGUAAAAUUUCAUAUUAAAAUUGCUUUGCUUUGAAAGCCACGAUCCAACUUUUCCAUUAUGAAUAAAGAAUUCAUAAUUCAUUUUCCUCAAAUAUCAUUAAGGCAUCCAUCCCUUACAAAAUUUAUGUAACAUCAGGGACAAGGGCCAUUAAGUUCAUAAUGCAAAAUCACUUCUAAAGUCACCAUCCAACUUUUCCAUUAUGAAUAAAGAAUUCACAACGCAUUUUUCUCGAAGUUAAUUGAGGCAUCCAUCACUUACAAAACUUAUGUAACAUUAGGGACAAGGGUCAUUAAGUUCAUACUGCAAAAUCACUUCUAACUGCAGUUGCAAAAUUGAAUUUAGGAACUAAGGUUCAUCAAAGCAGAAUAUAUAUUCAUUCAUGCAUUACUAUGAAUAAAAUUUCAUAAUUUUUUUAAUAUAAAAGCGGACACUGAUUGGGAUAGUUGCUUUGAGUAGUAAUUAAGGCAAGAACAAGAUAUCACAUUCAAGGACUAAGGUCGUUCAAUAAUGUAUCCAGCAUUUUUUGGGCAUCAAGACAUUCAAUCCCUUACAAAAUUUGAAAUUUCACAUUUAUUGAAGCAGAAGAUUGAAGGUAUUUGAAUAAUCAAGAAUGAAAAAUCUAAAACCCACCAUCAUUCCCAAAUGCAUUUAUUAUAAAAAAUAUGCAGAAGAUUGAACGUUUUGUGGACAGAACACGUUUCAUAAAUUAAAGUUCAUAAUGUAAAAUCACUUAUAAAGCCACCAUCAACCUUUUCCAUCAUGAAUAAAUAAUUCAUAAAGCAUUUUCCUCAAGGGUCAUUAAGGCAUCCAUCCAUUACAAAACUUAUGUAACAUUAGGGACAAGGGUCAUUAAGUUCAUAAUGCAAAAUCACUUCUAAUUGCAGUUGCAAAAUUGAAUUUAGGGACUAAGGGUCGUCAAUGCAGAAUAUAUAUCCAUUCAUGCAUUAUUAUGAAUAAAAAUUCAUAAUUUUUUUUAAUAGAAAAGCGAGCACCGAUAGAGACAAUUGCUUUGAGUAGCAAUUAAGGCAACAACAAGAUUUCCCAUUCAGGGACGCGGGUCAUUCAGUAAUUUAUCCAGUUUUUUUGGGCAUCAAGACAUCCAAUCCCUUUCAAAAAUUUGAUAUUUCACAUUUUAACGAAGCAUAAGAUUGAACGUAUUUGAAUAAUCAAGAAUGAAAAAAAUCUAAAACCCAUCAUCAUUCCCAAUAUGCAUUUAUUAUAAACCAGUAAGCAGAAGAUUGAAAGUUUUUGAGACAGAACAUGUCUCCUCAAUUAAAGUUCAUAAUAUAAAAUCACUUCUAAAGCCACCAUCCAACUUUUCCAUUAUGAAUAAAGAAUUCAUAAUGCAUUUUCCUCGAGGGUCAUUCAGGUCAUUGAGGCAUCCAUCCCUCACAAAAUUUAUGUAACAUCAAGGACAAGGGUCAUUAAGUUCAUAAUGCAAAAUCACUUCUAAAUACUGUUGCAAAAUUGAAUUUAGGGACUAAGGGUCGUCAAAGCAGAAUACAUAUCCAUUAAUGCAUUACUAUGAAUAAAAAUACAUAAUUUUUUAUAUUAGAAAAGCGGACACCGAUAGGGACAAUUGCUUUGAGUAGCAAUUAAGGCAACAACAAGACUUCACAUUCAGGGACUAGGGUCAUUAAGUAAUUUAUCCAGCAUUUUUUGGGCAUCAAGAUAUCCAAUCUCUUACAAAAUUUGAAAAUUCACAUUUUAUCGAAGAAGAUUGGAGGUUUUUGAAUAAUCAAUAAUGAAAACAUCGUAAACUGUUCCCAAUAGGUAUUGAUUAUAAACCAAUAAGCACUAGAUUGAAAUUUUUUGGGACAAUACAUGUUUCCUCAAUUAAAGUUCAUAAUGUAAAAUCACUUCUAAAAAGGCACCAUCCAACUUUUCCAUUAUGAAUAAAGAAUUCAUAAUGCAUUAGGUCAUUGAGGCAUCCAUCCCUUACGAAACUUAGUUAACAUUAGGGACAAGGGUCAUUAAGUUCAUAAUGCAAAAUCACUUCUAAUUGCAGUUGCAAAAUUGAAUUUAGGGACUAAGGAUCAUCAAAGCAGAACAUGUAUCAAUUCAUGCAUUACUAUGAAUAAAAAUUCAUAAUUUUUUUUAAUAGAAAAGCGGACACCGAUAAGGACAAUUGCUUUGAGUAGCAAUUAAGGCAGCAACAGGAUCAAGAAAUAUAGGGACAAUUGCUUUCACAUAGUAAAUGGGUCAAAUUAUUCAUUAAGUCAUUGUUAUGAGUAUAUAACAUAGUAUUAGUAACCAAUGAUCAAGAACAUGUUAUUUAUAGAUGCUAAAAGCAAAUUUUUUCUCUGCAUAAGUAUAUAUGAAGUUGGUCAAUGAACAUACAGGUGCAACAAGUAAUAUAGUAUAACAUUGACAAUUGACAUCAUAAAAAAGUUGUUAAUAUAUAUAUAUUACAUCACUAACAAUUAAUAUUACCUUGCUUCAUAGUCAAGUUUGAGACUUUUUGCCCGUAACAAUUUGAGAUAUGCGUAAGCUCCUCCUGAUCCUCGAAAAAGAAGAACUGGAGGUCUAAGAUUAUUUCCAAACUGGAAAAAGAACCGACGAUCCUGCUCUUCAUACCAUCAGCAACAGAACUGUGUCAAUAUGUAGCUUAUAUAAUGUUAUAAACUAAUCCAAUUCAUCAAGUCAUCAAAUCAUAAGAAACCACACAAUGUUGAUAAAUCUCACACUACAAAUUAGCUCCUUCUCACCUAUUAUUGCAUCAUGGAGUAUCUAUCUUUUUUGCUAUCUACAUAUCACAAACAUUAAUUAAUAGUCCACUUCCAGCCACAUUUUCACAUCAUUGACAUAAUUAAUAGCCCACUUUUCACCUAUUUUUACAUCAUAGGUCUCUUUUUAGCCUUCUACCUCAGCCCUGUAACAUGAAAUGUAUAAAUUUUAGAAUUAAUCCUAAUCGAAAGAAACUACACAAUGGCCACACCAAAAUCAAUCACAAACCAUAUUUUUCAUAUGUAUUAGGCAACAAUUUUUGAUCUAUCACAACAAAAUUGUUUAGAAAAACAACUAACAAUCAUAUAUAAAGAAGUCAAAUAUUGCAAUAGUAAUCAUUUAGGUCACUGAAAACAUGCAUAAAUCAAACUUGAUGAGGAUGAUGAAAAACCCUAAGCAAAGUGUAAAUCGAUUUAAAAUCAAAUCUGAAAUGUCAAAUCCUAAACAUACAUAACAUCAAAUUACAAAAAUCAAAACCCUAAACAGAGUUAAAAUCUCCAUGAAAUCAAAACCCUAAAAUCACUUGAUGAUAUAGAAAAUAUAUGUUCAGAACCAUAUAAUAGACAUGAAAUAAACAAGAAUUCGUACCGCAAUCAAUUGAUUCAGAAAUCGAAUUGAAAAUUUCUGAUUGAAGAAUCGCGGGAUGCCGAAGAUGCACACAACUGAUCAUUGAAGAAUCGGCGGAGAAAGGAGAACACGAGAGAUUGUGAGUUCGAAGUGUGAUUUUGGAAGAAUCGGGGAGAAUGCGAGAAAUUUUGGAAGAAUCGGAAGUGUAAUUUUGGGUGAGAUGAAAAUGGGAGAAAAAUAGAUUCUUG
rnacentral:lncRNA from 1 species